UAGUAGUAGUUAUGUUCUUGAAACUUAAAAAAUUUGGCGGUAUUUUAGUCUAUUCAGAGGAACCUGUCCUAUAAUCGAUAAUCCACGUUGGACCUUACUUAAAUUUGUUAAUCAGUUUGUAUACCGUCGUUAUAAGAAUAUUUUAUUAGAAUAAUAAUUUUCUAGAAUUUUUAUAAAAAUUUAUAUCAGAUCAAGGUGCAGCUUAUGUUUAAGAAGAGAUGGGUUACAAUAAAUUUAUUUAAAUGAAUUAAUUUUUGAAAAAAAUUAUGAAGGUGGAUUUGAAUGUAAAAUUAUAAAGAUAAAUAAUUUGAUUUUAGCUCUAAAAUAUGUACAUAUCGCCCGUCACUCUUAUUAUUAAGGUAAGAUAAGUCGUAACAUAGUAGAUGUACUGGAAAGUGUAUCUAGAAUGCAAUUUAAAGCUUAAAUAGUAAAGCAUUUCAUUUACAUUGAAAAGAUUUUUGUGCAAUUCAAUAUAAAUUGAUUAAUUUAUGUUUAUUAAUUUAUUUAAUUUUUUGUAUUUUAUAUUAAAAAUAAUUAUAUAAGAAAAGGUUUUAGUAUUUUAUAAAGAAUAAAUAAUUUUUAUUAUAGUGUAUUAGUAUUGUGAAAGAAAAUUGAAAUA
rnacentral:rRNA from 1 species